CUGAGUGUGAGGAAUUUCAUCCUUGUUCUUGUAGACUCUCAUGAUGAGAAUAUGGAGGAAAUGUGGGAGAAGUCUGUGCCCAACCUGCUGUCACGGGGCUCACUUGCACUGAGUCCGGAUUGCUGAAGUGCAGCGAGACUCUUCAUGCCAAUAGGGUCCUCUGCUGCUUUCUUCAUAUUGCCAUGCUGUCUUCAAAGGGCGCAUGGACAUCCAGGAGAUGGAUGCUCUGCAAAGCACCUAUGCCUGCAGGGAAAGCCGAAGGCGAAGAGCUGUGUCCUGGUGGCUAUUGCUUCUGUAACAACCACUCAGAUGAGGACUUCCCACGUUUUCCUCAGUGCCCCCGUGCUGCAGCUCUUCUUCAGGCUGG
ensembl:lncRNA